rnacentral:rRNA from 1 species
AGUGAACGCUGGCGGUAGGCCUAACACAUGCAAGUCGAACGGCAGCACAGUAAGAGCUUGCUCUUACGGGUGGCGAGUGGCGGACGGGUGAGGAAUACAUCGGAAUCUACUUUUUCGUGGGGGAUAACGUAGGGAAACUUACGCUAAUACCGCAUACGACCUACGGGUGAAAGCAGGGGAUCUUCGGACCUUGCGCGAUUGAAUGAGCCGAUGUCGGAUUAGCUAGUUGGCGGGGUAAAGGCCCACCAAGGCGACGAUCCGUAGCUGGUCUGAGAGGAUGAUCAGCCACACUGGAACUGAGACACGGUCCAGACUCCUACGGGAGGCAGCAGUGGGGAAUAUUGGACAAUGGGCGAAAGCCUGAUCCAGCCAUACCGCGUGGGUGAAGGAGGCCUUCGGGUUGUAAAGCCCUUUUGUUGGGAAAGAAAAGCAGCAGGUUAAUACCCCGCUGUUCUGACGGUACCCAAAGAAUAAGCACCGGCUAACUUCGUG